rnacentral:rRNA from 1 species
UAGGGAAUCUUCCGCAAUGGGCGAAAGCCUGACGGAGCAACGCCGCGUGAGUGAUGAAGGUCUUCGGAUCGUAAAACUCUGUUAUUAGGGAAGAACAAAUGUGUAAGUAACUAUGCACGUCUUGACGGUACCUAAUCAGAAAGCCACGGCUAACUACGUGCCAGCAGCCGCGGUAAUACGUAGGUGGCAAGCGUUAUCCGGAAUUAUUGGGCGUAAAGCGCGCGUAGGCGGUUUUUUAAGUCUGAUGUGAAAGCCCACGGCUCAACCGUGGAGGGUCAUUGGAAACUGGAAAACUUGAGUGCGGAAGAGGAAAGUGAAAUUCAAUGUGUAUCGGUGAAAUGCGCAGAGAUAUGGAGGAACACCAGUGGCGAAGGCGACUUUCUGGUCUGUAACUGACGCUGAUGUGCGAAAGCGUGGGGAUCAAACAGG